GAUGAACGCUAGCGGCAGGCCUAACACAUGCAAGUCGAGGGAGAAGCCCUUUCGGGGGCAGAAACCGGCGCACGGGUGCGUAACGCGUAUGCAACCUACCUUUCACAGGGGAUAGCCCGAAGAAAUUUGGAUUAAUACCCCAUAAUAUUAUUGGAUGGCAUCAUUUGAUAAUUAAAACUGCGGUGGUGAAAGAUGGGCAUGCGUCCUAUUAGCUAGUUGGAGUGGUAACGGCACCCCAAGGCUACGAUAGGUAGGGGUCCUGAGAGGGAGAUCCCCCACACUGGUACUGAGACAGGGACCAGACUCCUACGGGAGGCAGCAGUGAGGAAUAUUGGUCAAUGGUCGGAAGACUGAACCAGCCAUGCCGCGUGCAGGAAGAAUGCCUUAUGGGUUGUAAACUGCUUUUAUAUGGGAAGAAUAAGGUGUACGUGUACAUUGAUGACGGUACCAUAUGAAUAAGCAUCGGCUAACUCCGUG
rnacentral:rRNA from 1 species